rnacentral:rRNA from 1 species
AGGAUCAUUAAAGAAAUAAUCUCGAGGGCCGAUGGAAAGGAGAGAGGGUUGUAGCUGGCGUAAGCACGUGCACGCCCUCUUUCUCGACCUAGGUCCUUAUGGGCGCGGGGCGACCCGCGUCUUCAUAAGCCCCUUCGUGUAGAAAGUCUAUGAAUGUUUUUUACCAUCAUCGACUCGCGACUUCUAGGAGACGUGAUUCUUUGAGACAAAAGUUAUUACAACUUUCAGCAAUGGAUCUCUUGGCUCUCGCAUCGAUGAAGAACGCAGCGAAUCGCGAUAUGUAAUGUGAAUUGCAGAUCUACAGUGAAUCAUCGAAUCUUUGAACGCACCUUGCGCUUAUCGGUGUUCCGAUGAGCAUGCCUGUUUGAGCGUCAUUAAAUUCUCAACCCCUCUCGAUUUGCUUCGAGAGGGAGCUUGGAUAGUGGAGGCUGCCGGAGACCUGUUUUUUCAGGACUCGGGCUCCUCUGAAAUGUAUUGGCUUGCGGUCGACUUUCGACUGUGCAUGACAAGGCCUUUGGCGUGAUAAUGAUCGCCGCUCGCCGAAGUGCACGAACGAAUGGUCUCGUGCCCCUAAUCAGUCGAUGUCUUUUCGAAGGCGUCUUCCUCAUUGACGUUUGACCUC